rnacentral:rRNA from 1 species
UACGUAGGGGGCGAGCGUUGUCCGGAUUUAUUGGGCGUAAAGAGCUCGUAGGCGGUUCGAUAAGUCGGACGUGAAAUCUCCACGCUCAACGUGGAGGGGCCGUUCGAUACUGUCGUGACUCGAGUCCGGUAGGGGAGUGUGGAAUUCCCGGUGUAGCGGUGAAAUGCGCAGAGAUCGGGAGGAACACCCGUAGCGAAGGCGGCACUCUGGGCCGGUACUGGACGCUGAGGAGCGAAAGCGUGGGAGCAA